rnacentral:rRNA from 1 species
CGAACGCUGGCGGCGUGCCUAACACAUGCAAGUCAAGGGGAAAGUUCGACUUCGGUUGAGUGAGUAUACUGGCGGACGGGUGAGUAACGCGUAGGCAACCUGCCCUAGGGAGAGGGAUAACCCAGCGAAAGUUGGACUAAUACCUUAUAACGCAUUUUAUUCGCAUGGAUAGAUUGUUAAAGUUUGCAACUUGUUGCACACACCUUGGGAUGGGCCUGCGUUCCAUUAGUUAGUUGGUAAGGUAACGGCUUACCAAGGCGACGAUGGAUAGCUGGUUUGAGAGAGUGAUCAGCCACACUGGGACUGAGAUACGGCCCAGACUCCUACGGGAGGCAGCAGUGAGGAAUAUUGCGCAAUGGGCGAAAGCCUGACGCAGCAACGCCGCGUGGGGGAUGAAGUUCUAUGGAGCGUAAACCCCUGUAAGUGGGGACGAAGGAUAGAUAUUCGAAUAGGGUGUUUAUUUGACGGUACCCGCAGAGUAAGCUCCGGCUAACUCC